GACGAACGCUGGCGGCGUGCCUAAUACAUGCAAGUCGAACGCUUUUUCUUUCACCGGAGCUUGCUUCACCGAAAGAAAAAGAGUGGCGAACGGGUGAGUAACACGUGGGUAACCUGCCCAUCAGAAGGGGAUAACACUUGGAAACAGGUGCUAAUACCGUAUAACACUAUUUUCCGCAUGGAAGAAAGUUGAAAGGCGCUUUUGCGUCACUGAUGGAUGGACCCGCGGUGCAUUAGCUAGUUGGUGAGGUAACGGCUCACAAAGGCAACGAUGCAUAGCCGACCUGGGAGGGUGAUCGGCCACACUGGGACUGAGACACGGCCCAGACUCCUACGGGAGGCAGCAGUAGGGAAUCUUCGGCAAUGGACGAAAGUCUGACCGAGCAACGCCGCGUGAGUGAAGAAGGUUUUCGGAUCGUAAAACUCUGUUGUUAGAGAAGAACAAGGAUGAGAGUAAAACGUUCAUCCCUUGACGGUAUCUAACCAGAAAGCUACGGCUAACUACGUGCCAGCAGCCGCCGUAA
rnacentral:rRNA from 1 species